rnacentral:lncRNA from 1 species
GGACCAUAGAGAAGAGGCAUCAAAUUAAGUCUGGGAGAGGAAGAGUCUGUCUGAGAAUGCUUCUCCAAGGAAGUGACAGUCCUGUGUUAUUUGUCAUUCUUGAGAGAUGCCAGGCAAGAGCAGAGAACAAGAGAACAAGUUUGUGAACUUCUUGUCACCAACAGACAACUGAGACCCAAACAAAUGUCAGUGUUACUCUGAGAAGAAAAUAAUGGAGUGAUCCCCAAGAAAAAAAGCUCUGCAUAAUAUCAUAGCUUCUGAGGUUUGGAAAAUGUCCCUGGUGUCUGGAAAAAAAUGGAGAGAAUCACUUUACUCUUUCAGAUUAACUGGCAUUUCCAUCACCUCCAAAGCCGUUAGUGUUUAUAAAUACAUUAAUAAAAGAUUCUGAAACUCCCUUGGUGAAAGGUGAGUGUGGGUUCACAAUCCAAGAAGGCUGCACUUAAGAAGGAUUUUAACAGUAAGAAGUAGUAAGUGCCUUCUCGGUAACCUACGUGAGCCUGUCAACAGACUGCUUUCAUUUCAUUUCACAUCCUUUCCACUUGAGCAACAGGCAUGGGAAACAGAAUUGGCAGGAGGGGAGGUUCCAGAGGAGCCAUCAGCUUGCCUUUUUCUACAAGUUCCUGUGUGUAAAUUUAAAUGAGAUUCUGCAAUUUUUACCUGGAUGAUAUGCUGUCACUCUUCCUAGCAUAAAGCCAAGGACCGAGGCAUCAUCACCUUCAAGGAACACUUCUUAUGAUUAUUAUCUCUUAUUUCGAGUGCUGGACAAAGCCCAUCCUCUGACUGCCUAGAGAAGAGACAGGGACCGCCAGAUAAGGCGUAUAAGAUCUGAAGCUUCCCUCUGUGUCCUGGCACCCUGAAUUCUAUAAACUCGCUGAAUGGGCAAUGGAGACUUGGUGCCAUCUUUCUCCCAAAAGCACGGCCCGUUGUGGUUCUCAGCAGUGGAUGGAAAAAA